CUCCCUGUGAUGAGGACCUUCUCACAGACCUGUACUGAGCUUUGUGAGGAUAAUUAACUCUGAGGAUAC
rnacentral:snoRNA from 1 species